rnacentral:rRNA from 1 species
GUUGUAUGGUUAAGUGACUAAGCGUACACGGUGGAUGCCUUGGCAGUCAGAGGCGAUGAAAGACGUAGUAACUUGCGAUAAGCCCAGAUUAGGUAGUAACAACCAUUUGAGUCUGGGAUUUCUGAAUGGGGAAACCCACGUGCAUAAGCACGUAUCCUUACCUGAAUACAUAGGGUAAGGAGGCGAACCGGGGGAACUGAAACAUCUAAGUACCCCGAGGAAAAGAAAUCAACCGAGAUUCCGAAAGUAGCGGCGAGCGAAAUUGGACUAGCCCUUAAGCUUUACACGCGUUAGACGAACGGUCUGGAAAGUCCGACGAUACAGGGUGAUAGUCCCGUAGUUGACGACGUGUGUUCAGUGAAAUCGAGUAGGGCGGGACACGUGAUAUCCUGUCUGAAUAUGGGGGGACCAUCCUCCAAGGCUAAAUACUACUGACUGACCGAUAGUGAACCAGUACCGUGAGGGAAAGGCGAAAAGAACCCCUGUGAGGGGAGUGAAAUAGAACCUGAAACCGUGUACGUACAAGCAGUAGGAGCAGGCUUUGUCCUGUGACUGCGUACCUUUUGUAUAAUGGGUCAGCGACUUAUAUUCAGUGGCAAGGUUAACCAUCUAGGGGAGCCGUAGGGAAACCGAGUCUUAACUGGGCGUUCAGUCUCUGGAUAUAGACCCGAAACCAGGUGAUCUAGCCAUGGGCAGGUUGAAGGUUGAGUAACAUCAACUGGAGGACCGAACCGACUAAUGUUGAAAAAUUAGCGGAUGACUUGUGGCUAGGGGUGAAAGGCCAAUCAAACCUGGAGAUAGCUGGUUCUCCCCGAAAGCUAUUUAGGUAGCGCCUCGGACGAAUACUACUGGGGGUAGAGCACUGUUAAGGCUAGGGGGUCAUCCCGACUUACCAACCCUUUGCAAACUCCGAAUACCAGUAAGUACUAUCCGGGAGACACACGGCGGGUGCUAACGUCCGUCGUGGAGAGGGAAACAACCCAGACCGCCAGCUAAGGUCCCAAAUUACUACUAAGUGGGAAACGAUGUGGGAAGGCUCAGACAGCCAGGAUGUUGGCUUAGAAGCAGCCAUCAUUUAAAGAAAGCGUAAUAGCUCACUGGUCGAGUCGGCCUGCGCGGAAGAUGUAACGGGGCUAAGUAGUAAACCGAAGCUGCGGCAAUAUACUUUUGUAUAUUGGGUAGGGGAGCGUUCUGUAAGCGGUUGAAGGUGUGUGGUAACGCAUGCUGGACGUAUCAGAAGUGCGAAUGCUGACAUGAGUAACGAUAAAGGGGGUGAAAAACCUCCUCGCCGGAAGACCAAGGGUUCCUGUCCAACGUUAAUCGGGGCAGGGUAAGUCGACCCCUAAGGCGAGGCCGAAAGGCGUAGUCGAUGGGAAACGGGUUAAUAUUCCCGUACUUCUUACAAUUGCGAUGGGGGGACGGAGAAGGCUAGGUGGGCCUGGCGACGGUUGUCCAGGUUCAAGUGCGUAGGCUGAAGAGUUAGGUAAAUCCGGCUCUUUUUAAGGCUGAGACACGACGUCGAGCACCUACGGGUGUGAAGUCAUUGAUGCCAUGCUUCCAGGAAAAGCCUCUAAGCUUCAGAUUGUAAGGAAUCGUACCCCAAACCGACACAGGUGGUCGGGUAGAGAAUACCAAGGCGCUUGAGAGAACUCGGGUGAAGGAACUAGGCAAAAUGGUACCGUAACUUCGGGAGAAGGUACGCUCUUGAUGGUGAAGUCCCUUGCGGAUGGAGCUGACGAGAGUCGCAGAUACCAGGUGGCUGCAACUGUUUAUUAAAAACACAGCACUGUGCAA